rnacentral:rRNA from 1 species
CCCUUGGAAGUUCUGGGCUGCACGCGCGCUGCACUGACAUUUUCAGCGAGUCCACCACCUUGCCUGGGAAUGUGGGGUGACCUCUGGAAAGCGCAUCGUGAUGUGGAUCGAUUAUUGAGAUUAUUAAUUUCCAACGAGGAAUUGCUAGGAAGUAUGUGUCAUCAGCCCGUGCUGAUUACGUCCCUGCCCUUUCUACACGCCGCCUGUCGCUCCUACCGAUUGAUUGGUCCGGUGAAUUAUGCGGACUGCAACGCGUUCAGCUUCUGGAUGCAGUUGCGGAAAGGUUUGUAAACCUUAUCACUCAGAGGAAGGAGAAGUCGUAACA